rnacentral:rRNA from 1 species
CAAAAGCGUAUAUUAAAGUUGUUGCAGUUAAAAAGCUCGUAGUUGAACCUUGGGCUUGGCUGGUCGGUCCAUCUUUUUUGAUGCGUACUGGACCCAGCCGAGCCUUUCCUUCUGGCUAGCCUUUUGGCGAACCAGGACUUUUACUUUGAAAAAAUUAGAGUGUUCAAAGCAGGCCUUUGCUCGAAUAUAUUAGCAUGGAAUAAUAGAAUAGGACGUUAUGGUUCUAUUUUGUUGGUUUCUAGGACCAUCGUAAUGAUUAAUAGGGACGGUCGGGGGUAUCAGUAUUCAGUUGUCAGAGGUGAAAUUCUUGGAUUUACUGAAGACUAACUACUGCGAAAGCAUUUACCAAGGACGUUUUCAUUAA